UACGGAGGGGGCUAGCGUUGUUCGGAAUUACUGGGCGUAAAGCGCACGUAGGCGGAUUCUUAAGUCAGGGGUGAAAUCCCGAGGCUCAACCUCGGAACUGCCUUUGAUACUGGGGAUCUCGAGUUCGGGAGAGGUGAGUGGAAUUGCGAGUGUAGAGGUGAAAUUCGUAGAUAUUCGCAAGAACACCAGUGGCGAAGGCGGCUCACUGGCCCGAUACUGACGCUGAGGUGCGAAAGCGUGGGGAGCAAACAGG
rnacentral:rRNA from 1 species